rnacentral:tRNA from 1 species
AGAAAAUAGUUUAUUAAAAUAUUAAUUUUGGAGAUUAAUGAAAAAGAAAUUUCUUUUUUUCUGAU